rnacentral:rRNA from 1 species
AGAACGAACGCUGGCGGCAUGCCUAAUACAUGCAAGUCGAACGAACACUUCGGUGUUAGUGGCGCACGGGUGCGUAACGCGUGGGAAUCUGCCCUUGGGUUCGGAAUAACAGUUGGAAACGACUGCUAAUACCGGAUGAUAUCGAAAGAUCAAAGAUUUAUCGCCCAGGGAUGAGCCCGCGUAGGAUUAGCUAGUUGGUGAGGUAAAGGCUCACCAAGGCGACGAUCCUUAGCUGGUCUGAGAGGAUGAUCAGCCACACUGGGACUGAGACACGGCCCAGACUCCUACGGGAGGCAGCAGUAGGGAAUAUUGGACAAUGGGCGCAAGCCUGAUCCAGCAAUGCCGCGUGAGUGAUGAAGGCCUUAGGGUUGUAAAGCUCUUUACCCGAGAUGAUAAUGACAGUAUCGGGAAGAAUAAGCCCCGGACUAAACUCCCGUGCCAGCACGCCGC